rnacentral:lncRNA from 1 species
UAAACGCACUCAAUGUAAUUUUCUGCCUCUUUAUGAAAACCCAACUUUCGAUGGAGUUUGGUGACGAAUGGUGAAGGAGCGUGGAAUCAUGGGAGUUGUCGUUUUUUGUUUUUUUACACCAAAUAGCCGCCACUGCAGUCAGCUUCUCCCUGUUAGGAUUGCUUCACUUCUCAUCACCCAGGGGGGUUACAAUGGCCAGAUGACAUAUAUAAUCUUUCCAGCGGGUUCUGGGUCUACCCAGGGGCCUCCCAGCAGUUGGACAUCAAAUGCCCAAACCGCCUCAACUGGCUCCUUUCAACCUGAGGGAGCAGCGACUCUGCUCCGAGCUCACCCAUCCAAGAAUAGCCACCUCAAUGCGAUGGAAGGGUUUGUGUUUCACGGUGAUCCUGGGAACUGUGUUUUCUGGGGCAGUGGCCCCUUUUGGGGUCUCCCAAGGCAAAUUGUCGGGGAGACCCCAAGGCAAAUCAGUCUGGCCUCUUCCAGGGGAGAGGCCAGACUGAUAGCCAUUCACAACAACCAGAUGAAAGGCAGCCUUUGGAACUGCAUGACCUCGCCCGGAUUAUGGAAUGUGGGCCACCCUCCUGGAGCCAGACCUGGAGGGAGGGGAGCUCACCGGUGAGUGUUUUGUGUCUGGAACCUUGGCCCAUGGGGCACGGCUCGAAAAACAUUACAUGGAGCUACCACCAGAAGGGACAAGCGUUCGGUUGCGGUGCGAUAAACUGCGUGAGAGGCCAGGUCAGGCGGACUUGGCAUCCUGAACCCUGAAAUCAUAGACUAGAUAAUAGAUAAAGGGUAAGCUCUACUUUCAGCCAAAAUAACUACAGCAAUUGUAAUGCUUUAAAAUAGAUGCCUAUAGUAUGUAAAUGCAUCUAUGCAGACUAAUAAUGACAUACCCACCAGCCUAAUUAGUUUGUGCAUGUAGCAAAUGUUGCAUUUUACUGUUUGUUGUAAAUUAGCAAAUGUUAGCUGAAAAUGUUAGUGAUUAAAGCUCAAAGUCUUGCUAAAAUGUCGGAGCGUCUGCCUCCUGUUGAAAUGCUGCUCGGUGCUACGGUAUAGCACACUGAACUGUGGUCACUAUCUGCUUUCUGGGGGCAGACAGAAUAAAACUAAAC